UUAGUACUCCCUCCGUCCGGAAAUACUUGUCCUAGAGAUGAAUGUAUCUAGACUUAUUUUAGUUAUAGAUACAUCCAUUAUAUCCAUUUCUAGGACAAGUAUUUCCGGACGGAGGAAGUACUUC
rnacentral:pre_miRNA from 1 species